GAUGAACGCUGGCGGCGUGCUUAACACAUGCAAGUCGAACGGGGAACAAAUUAUUGAAGCUUCGGCAGAUCUAGCUUGUUCCUAGUGGCGGACGGGUGAGUAACGCGUGGGUAACCUGCCUCACACUGGGGGAUAACAGUCAGAAAUGGCUGCUAAUACCGCAUAAGCGCACAGUACCGCAUGGUACAGUGUGAAAAACUCCGGUGGUGUGAGAUGGACCCGCGUUGGAUUAGCUAGUUGGCAGGGCAGCGGCCUACCAAGGCGACGAUCCAUAGCCGGCCUGAGAGGGUGAACGGCCACAUUGGGACUGAGACACGGCCCAGACUCCUACGGGAGGCAGCAGUGGGGAAUAUUGCACAAUGGGGGAAACCCUGAUGCAGCGACGCCGCGUGAAGGAAGAAAUAUCUCGGUAUGUAAACUUCUAUCAGCAGGGAAGAAAAUGACGGUACCKACUAAGAGCCCCGWUUUUYC
rnacentral:rRNA from 1 species